rnacentral:rRNA from 1 species
UACAGAGGGUGCGAGCGUUGUUCGGAAUUACUGGGCGUAAAGCGCGUGUAGGCGGGUCCUUAAGUCAGGGGUGAAAUGCCAAGGCUCAACCUCGGAACUGCCUUUGAUACUGGCAAUCUCGAGUCCGGAAGAGGUGAGUGGAAUUCCUAGUGUAGAGGUGAAAUUCGUAGAUAUUAGGAAGAACACCAGUGGCGAAGGCGGCUCACUGGUCCGGUACUGACGCUGAGGUGCGAAAAGCGUGGGGGAGC